GUCAGUGUGGUGUAGUGGUUUGAAUGCUGGACUACAGCUUUGGUAGACCAAGGUUCAAGUCCCUGCUUAGCCA